rnacentral:rRNA from 1 species
UACCUGGUACAGAUAGUGAUGAUCAUGAUAGGGAGCGGUGGGGCGCGCCGGGGGAUUGUUCAAGUUCUGCCUUCAGCUUCGAUGUAGUGUAUGGAUACCAUGCGAUCCGGGUACGGGAAUAGGUUCAUUCAGAGAGGACCUGAGAAUGGCUCCACAUGUAGGAAGGAGCAGCGGGUAAAUUCGCAUCGUAUUCAGGGAGGUAGUGCAAGAAAUGCACUCGGUCCCACUGGGGUUCGGGAUGCAAGACAACAAUUCACCACUGUGAGUAGCAGGGGGGGCUAGUCUGGGGCAGCAGCCGCGGUAAUUCCAGCUCCAAUAGCGUAUAGUAAAGUUGUUGCAGUUAACAAGCUAGUAGAUGAAUUUCUGGCCGGCGCUGUUCCCGGCUCUCGCAGUCGGCUCAGGAGCGUGGUCAUCCGUAUGGGAAGCUAGCUCGUCCUUCGGUGGUCGAGGUAGUGGAUCAUACUCUUCUACUUUGGAAAAUAAUGUAGCAGCUGGUAUUCGAGGGCGGAGGGCCGGAGUAGGGGGAGGGAA